ACCUUGGAAGCCCACAUCAAACUGAAUUGAACCGACAGGUGCACGCCUCUCUCUACCACAUCCUAAAAAUAUUCAAUAUAGCCAGCUACUACCAGGCAGGCCCUGGUCCAAUAUGUGGCCUAAAUGGGUCAACAUCAGAAAGGGAGCAAGCGAGAGGGAUUUCUGGAGAUUUCCAGAACACCACGGUCUCUUGCCCCUGCUAUUCCUACCCGUCACAAAAUGCUCACUCCAGAAAUGUCCACGGUUCUCUUUAAAUAUUGCUAAUUCCAUCUUCCAUUCCACCGAUUCUCUCGAAACAUCUUUCUCUGAUUGCAAGAACAUAUCAAACAUGUCUCAAGAUCUGUUAAGAUUUAGCUUUUCUCUUCCUUUAUCUUCAAGAAGCACAUAUAGCGGAUCAAGAAACUUCUGCUUCUGGAAAACAAAUGGGGCCGGCUUUAAUUCCCUCCACAAGAACAACAAUGGCACCAAAGUCAUGGCAGCGGAUAACAGAGACAAUCUUGACCACCUGCAGAGGGCCAGCAAGCAUCAUCAACAGACGCAACCCAAGAAAAGAGUGGUUCCUGUUGCACCAGUAGGGUUGUGGGACAGAUUCCCAACAGCCAGAACAGUGCAGCAGAUGAUGGAAACGAUGGAGAGAAUGAUGGAGGACCCAUUUGCCUACUCCAGCGGGUGGCCAUCACCACCAUCUAAUAAUGGAAGUGGGUACGGCAGAGGAAGGACACCAUGGGAAAUAAAAGAGGGAGAAAGCGAGUACAAGAUGAGGUUUGACAUGCCUGGAAUGACCAAGGAGGAUGUGAAGGUGUUUGUUGAGGAGAAUAUGUUGGUUGUGAAAGCAGAGAAGGUGCCGAAGAAGAAAGUAAAUGGUGGAGAGACUGGGGAGGAAGAAGAAGAAGAAGAAGAUAAAGAUGAAGAAGAAGUUGAAGGAGCAGACCCAGUAGUGGUAGGGGUUGAAGAUGCAAGACCAUGAAGAUGGUGGUGGACAUGAGAAGCAGCAUGAGACAAGCCAGCUUGGAUAGAGAUGGAGCCCAUAAAUGGGCCUGCAGGAGAUGGUCCUCCUGAUGAUCUGCCAUCGAAAGAAACUUGGGGGUGGUGGUGGUGGUGUUGCUGGUGGUGAGAUUGGUGGGGUUCUUUGGCGGUAUUAUUUUGCUUGUUGCUUUGCAUACCAGUGAGUUCCAUUUGGUGGUGGGGUGGGUUUGAAUCUGAUGGGUUAGAUUUUUUCCCCCUUUUUUUUCCUUUUCUUUUCUUUUUAAUUUACGUUGGAUUUCCAAAACAACGAUCAAAAACCCAUCUCUUGAUUCUCUUCUUCCAUGUUUCUCUUCAGAACAGGAGAGAGAGAGAGAGAGAG
rnacentral:misc_RNA from 1 species